AGUUGAUGGGUCUUGUCCUGGGUUCAUUUUGACAGGUUGUUAUGAUGGCUUAGGAAGGGUGUGGGAGUCUGCGGGAUUGUGUACACGUAUUCUCGAAGGUCACAGUGAUGCCAUAUCUUCUGUUUGUAUUGUGAACCCUGAAGAAGCAACUAAUGUCAUUCUGGCCACUGCUUCAAAGGAUCGAACACUCAGGCUGUGGAAGUAUUCAAAAGAUGAUCGAGUUAGCAACCCUACCAAAAUAAGGCCAUUCAAAAUCUUGAAAGGGCAUAAAUUGUCUGUACAAAGUGUUGCAUCACAAAAAUCUGGACACCUGAUCUGUUCAGGUUCUUGGGAUUACACAAUCAAGUUAUGGCGAACUGAUGAGCAUCAUUU
rnacentral:misc_RNA from 1 species